UUCCUGAUGGUCUAGCGGCUAAGGAUCCCGCGCUCUCACCGCUGUGGUCCGGGUUUGAUUCCCGGGCAGGGAA
rnacentral:tRNA from 1 species